rnacentral:rRNA from 1 species
GAUGAACGCUGGCGGCGUGCCUAAUACAUGCAAGUCGAGCGAAUGGAUUAAGAGCUUGCUCUUAUGAAGUUAGCGGCGGACGGGUGAGUAACACGUGGGUAACCUGCCCAUAAGAAUGGGAUAACUCCGGGAAACCAGGGCUAAUACCGGAUAACAUUUUGAACCGCAUGGUUCGAAAUUGAAAGGCGGCUUCGGCUGUCAAUUAUGGAUGGACCCGCGUCGCAUUAGCUAGUUGGUGAGGUAACGGCUGACCAAGGCAACGAUGCGUAGCCGACCGGAGAGGGUGAUCGGCCACACUGGGACUGAGACACGGCCCAGACUCCUACGGGAGGCAGCAGUAGGGAAUCUUCCGCAAUGGACGAAAGUCUGACGGAGCAACGCCGCGUGAGUGAUGAAGGCUCUCGGGUCGUAAAACUCUGUUGUUAGGGAAGAACAAGUGCUAGUUGAAUAAGCUGGCACCUUGACGGUACCUAACCAGAAAGCCACGGCUAACUACGUGCCAGCCGCCGCCGUAA